GAUGAACGCUGGCGGCGUGCCUAACACAUGCAAGUCGAGCGAACGGACGAGAAGCUUGCUUCUCUGAUGUUAGCGGCGGACGGGUGAGUAACACGUGGAUAACCUACCUAUACGACUGGGAUAACUUCGGGAAACCGGAGCUACUACCGGAUAAUAUUUUGAACCGCAUGGUUCAAAAGUGAAAGACGGUCUUGCUGUCACUUAUAGAUGGAUCCGCGCUUGAUUAGCUAGUUGGUAAGGUAACGGCUUACCAAGGCAACGAUGCAUAGCCGACCUGAGAGGGUGGUCGGCCACACUGGGACUGAGGAACGGUCCAGACUCCUAAGGGGGGCAGCAGUAGGGAAGCUUACGCAAUGGGGGGAAGCAUGACGGAGCAACGCCGCGGGGGGGGUGAAGGGCUUCGGAGCGUAAAGAUCUGUUAUUGGGGGAGAACAAAUGUGUAAGUAACUGUGCACAGCUUGACGGUACCUAAUCAAAAAGCCACGGCUAACUACGUG
rnacentral:rRNA from 1 species